rnacentral:rRNA from 1 species
UACGAAGGGGGGCUAGCGUUGUUCGGAAUUACUGGGCGUAAAGCGCGCGCAGGCGGUUCUUCAAGUCAGAGGUGAAAGCCCAGAGCUCAACUCUGGAAUGGCCUUUGAGACUAGAGAACUAGGGUACGGGAGAGGUGAGUGGAAUUCCGAGUGUAGAGGUGAAAUUCGUAGAUAUUCGGAAGAACACCAGUGGCGAAGGCGGCUCACUGGCCCGUUACCGACGCUCAGGCGCGACAGCGUGGGGAGCAAACAGG